rnacentral:tRNA from 1 species
GGUGGGGACAGCUCAGUGGCAGGGCACGUGCCUAGCACGCACAAGGUCCUGGGUUCACUUCCCAGUGCCGCCA